GAUGAACGCUGGCGGCGUGCCUAAUACAUGCAAGUCGAACGCUGGAGAUCUAGCUUGCUAGAUCGAAGGAGUGGCGAACGGGUGAGUAAUACAUAAGCAACCUACCCACGAAGACUGGGAUAAUCUCUGGAAACGGGGACUAAUACCGGAUAGGUAAUCGGAAGGCAUCUUCUGGUUAUUAAAGGUUAAAAACACUGGUGGAUGGGCUUAUGGCGCAUUAGUUAGUUGGUGAGGUAACGGUCCACCAAGACGAUGAUGCGUAGCCGGCCUGAGAGGGUGAACGGCCACAUUGGGACUGAGACACGGCCCAGACUCCUACGGGAGGCAGCAGUAGGGAAUUUUCGGCAAUGGGGGCAACCCUGACCGAGCAACGCCGCGUGAGUGAAGACGGCCUUCGGGUUGUAAAGCUCUGUUGUAAGGGAAGAACGGUAGAUAGAGAAUAUCUAAGUGACGGUACCUUACCAGAAAGCCACGGCUAACUACGUG
rnacentral:rRNA from 1 species